rnacentral:rRNA from 1 species
GGGCCAGUAGGUUGGUCGUGCCACCGGUACGUACUGGUCUCACUGAUUCCUCCUUCCUGAAUAACCGUAAUGCCAUUAAUUUGGUGUUGCGGGGAAACAGGACUGUUACUUUGAAAAAAUUAGAGUGUUUAAAGCAAGCUAACGCUUGAAUACAUUAGCAUGGAAUAAUGAAAUAGGACGAUCGAUCCUAUUUUGUUGGUUUCUAGGAUUGACGUA